rnacentral:pre_miRNA from 11 species
AAAGUUCAAUUGCAACUGAUUGAAACGGAUCAGAAUUAACUGAAAUUCAGAAAAAUUCUGAUCCGUUUCAAUCAGUUGCAAUUGAACUUUUUU